rnacentral:rRNA from 1 species
UACAGAGGUCUCAAGCGUUGUUCGGAUUCAUUGGGCGUAAAGGGUGCGUAGGUGGCGCCGUAAGUCGGGUGUGAAAUUUCCGGAGCUUAACUCCGAAACUGCAUUCGAUACUGACGGUGCUUGAGGACUGGAGAGGAGACUGGAAUUCAUGGUGUAGCAGUGAAAUGCGUAGAGAUCAUGAGGAAGACCAGUGGCGAAGGCGGGUCUCUGGACAGUUCCUGACACUGGAGGCAACGGAAGGCCCAGGGAGCAAACGGG